UACAGAGGUGGCAAGCGUUGUUCGGAAUUACUGGGCGUAAAGGGCGCGUAGGCGGUCUUGUAAGUCUUGUGUGAAAUCCCUCGGCUUAACUGAGGAACUGCACGGGAUACUGCGAGACUUGAGAUCGGGAGAGGGAAGCGGAAUUCCGGGUAUAGCGGUGAAAUGCGUAGAUAUCCGGAGGAACACCGGUGGCGAAGGCGACGAUCUGGGAAGAAACAGACGCUGAGUCCCGAAAGCGUGGGGAGCAAAUAGG
rnacentral:rRNA from 1 species